rnacentral:misc_RNA from 1 species
UUAUUCUCCUAAUCUUUUGUCUUCUUUCCGUUUACCAGUUCGUCCAUCGUCUUCGUCUCUGCUCUGGAAAGCUGAAGAGGAGCAGUUGCAUUCUCAUCUCUUUCUCUUUGCUAAGGAAAUCAGGAGCUGAUUGGAACCAGAGAUGCAACAAGGAGAUUACAAUUCCUUCUAUCAAUACCCCCCUCAUCCUCAAAACCCUAACCCCAAUCCCAAUCCCAAUCCUGCUUUAAACGAUCACCACCAGACUUCAUACGCAUCAGCACCUCCGUUCACCACCACUUAUGCCCCUUCCGAUUACCCCGUUUACCCCCCCAAUUACCCUCCUUAUACACAACAUCCCUAUCCCGUCCCUGCUCCCACUGCUCCCUUGUACAAUCCACUGACGCCGCCUCCUCCUCCUGCUACGACUGCUUCUCUGAACCCUAAUAGUCUGCAAUCCUCAUUCAACCCGUCACCACAACCUCCUCAACCUUCUUUCCCUCCCUACGAUUCCAAUGGGCCCUACCAGCCUCCAAACACUCAGCAAUCCUAUUACCCGCCUUACGAUCAGAAGCAGACGGCUUCCAGUUAUGCUCCUCCUCAACCUUCCCUUUCCUCCAUCGCACCAAAUCCUAACCCUACUGCCAAUCCACCAUACUCCUCCAUCUACACUGCCCCGCCAUAUAAUAAUCCUAUAGGAUCGUCGGUCCCACCUGCAUAUGAUAAUCCAUAUGAGAAUUCGCUGAAAUUUGAUCAAAGCGUCGGGUAUUUUGAUGAUAAAUAUGGAGGUUACACACGGGGCGGAUCUGAUUUUGGGUCGGAUCUAUAUGGGAAGCGACCAGAGAGCAGGUACGAUAUAGGUUGCGAUGAUGGGUAUGGGGAUGGCGUUUAUGCCUAUGAAGGGAGUAAGGUGGAGCCAUAUGGAGCCAGGGGCACUGCACCAAAAUCAUCAACUUGGGCUGGGUUCGAUGAUUAUGGGAGAGCUAUCAGCUUCCCUUCUGGAAAGGACUCAUCAGUUGGUUCGGGAUCCGCUAAGAUUGUGCGAGCGGUACCAAAGGCAGAGACGCAACAGGAUGUUAAGAGUGGGGUACAAAAGUUCAGGGUUAAGCUGCUGGCUGAAAGCGGAGGCCAGAGCACCAUGGAUGUACUUUGCCAGGUACCUCAUUUUUUUCUUUUAAUCUGCGCCAGAUGUUUUGCCUUUCAUUCAUAUAAAUAUUAAGAUAUUGUCAAUAUAUAUCGUCAAGAUAGAGUAUCAUGCCACUACCAGUGGAAUUUUUCUUUAUAUUCACUCACGGCCAUUAACAUUAGUGAAACGUGUGUCACAGGUAGAUUUUAUGUGUGAAAAGAAGAGAACAUGAAUAUUGUGGGUAUUUUUGUCCGAAAUUUUGUUUCUUAGUUUAUGGAAUUCACUUGGAAAUUCUGCCAUUAUGGAAUUUGGCCUGGUUGUAGAUAAUUAAAUUCUUGGAGUUGGAAGUGAAAUGGACAACAUUAUGGUUCCAAACAUACCAAAAUGUGAUUGCAAAUAAAUACACUAAAAAUUUUGUGGAAUUCAUUUGUUCCAAACAGUUCCUAUAGGAACUUUUGUUGAGGUUUCAGUUCCUAAUUUGAUGUUGAAGCAUAAUCAAACCAAACCUUUUCAAUUCUUGUUUAUAAUCAUGUUAAAUGUAUUAGUACCAACUAGGAUUUACUUUGUGGAGUUGAGCCUAAAAUGGUUGUUGAUUGCCUCUCUCUUAACUCAUACAGAAAUCACAGUGACUUCUCGAUGUAGCGAAGCUUUUGUCACCCCUCUGGUUGAACCCCCUUACCCCACCCCAAAAAAAAGAAACCCCCAAAAAAUCUUAAUUUUAUGCAUUUUUGUAUUUUUUUUGCUGAUUAAAUUUAAGUUUUCUUUCAGAUUGGUUUGGAUGGUAUUCGAAUGCUUGAUCCUAGUACUGGGCGGACUUUGAGAAUUUAUCCUCUUGAGAACAUAACAAGAUGCGAUGUAACUGAUUCAUCUACCUUUGCGUUCUGGUCCAAGAGUUCUGUGGAUAUUGAACCAAGACGUAUCAGAUUACAAUCAAAUAGUUACACUACCAACACACUUCUUGACAUAGUGACAGCAGCAACUGUGCAGCUCAAGGAGAUGGGUGGGAGCAGGAGGCCUACUGAAUCUUCGACGACGCUUGAGCAGCCCAUAGAAAAGAAAAAAGUGUUUGUUGAUUGGAUGAACUUGAUAAAAGCUGGCAAUGAGGAGAAAGAUCAUUGGGUCCCUGAUGAAGCCGUUUCGAAGUGCACAGGAUGUGGGACAGAUUUUGGGGCUUUUGUGCGCAAGCAUCACUGCAGAAACUGUGGAGACAUUUUCUGUGAUAAGUGUACACAUGGUAGAAUUGCUCUUACCGCCGAUGAGAAUGCUCAGCCUGUUAGAGUUUGUGACAGAUGCAUGGCUGAAGUGACUCAGAGGCUGAGUAAUGCAAAAGAAGUAGCUAGUAAACCUGCAGGAUUGCAGUCUCAUGAGGAUCUUGCAAGGAAGCUUCAGGAGGAAAUGGAUAAAAAUCGCAAGGCAUCAUCAGGAUCCAUGUUAGAUGGAUCUGGGAGGCUGAGGGAAGUUGCCUGUCCUACCUGCACUGUUCAUUUGCAGGUCCAAGUGCCCAGCUCGGGUUCCAAAACUGUCGAGUGUGGAGUCUGUCAACAUCCAUUUCUUGUCAGUGCUCAUUGAUUUUGCAUCUAGUUUCAUGACUAUUGAAGGCGGCUUUUGUGAUAAAAAUGCUAUUCCAACUUAGGACGGGAUGAUCCUAUCCUAGUUCAGGAUAUCACUGAAAUUGAUUUCUGUAACAGGCGUCAAGAGUUGUAUAUGGUUUAAUUAUUUACUCAUUUUCAUUCACAAUAUGCGCUGUGGAAAUGCUGCUUGGGAAGUUUCUAUGGAUUUGUGAUUUGAAGCGUGAGUUUGCAGUUUGU